AGGACCGGAUUGAAACAAUAUUAAAAUAUGCAGUAAAAUUUAAAAGAAAUAAUAAAUUUAAUUUAAACAACCCCAAAAAGAAAAGGACCAAUCGCGCAAAUGGCCCCUUUUGAACCCUUAUAAAAUCCCAUUUCAAAACCCUUUCUCUGCCAUUUUUGUAUUUGCCGCAGCCUCCCUUCCACCAUUUCAGACCCAUUUUUUACCGGCCACAACGACGACGACGGCGCCACGACGGCGCGCCACCACCGAUGUGUGAGCGUUGUGCGAGUGGACGUGCCAGCGAAGAUGUGGGACAGUUUGGGAGGCUGCCGAACGUGGGGCGUGCACGGCACUGGAGGUUGCUGCGACGUGGGGUGGCUACUGCUAACUGCUGCUUAGGGUUAGGCUAGGGUUAGCACACUUGGGCCUUAUUGGGCCAAAUGCAAUUGGGUCAGGAUUGACCCAAGUUUUAUUGGAUUUGAUUGGCUAUUACAAUAAUAUUUAAAAUUAAUAAAAACAAUUACUUUAUAAAGGAAAAAAACUAUUUUUGUA